CACCACCAUGUGUGGCUAAUUUUGUAUUUUUAGUAGAGAUGGGGUUUCUCCAUGUUGGUCAGGAUGGUCUCGAACUUCCGACCUCAUGUGAUCCACCUGCCUCGUCCUCCCAAAGUGCUGGGAUUACAGGCGUGAGCCAACUAUCUUUACAAUAAUCAUCUGUCAUGGGUAGUACUGGUUUCACUUGCUACUAUUAUAUUUCUGUUAGGCUGUCUCUGAAUAGCAGUGAGGCUAACUUUGACAGUUUCAAAGAAUAUUACAGGUUGUCUUUCAGCCUUGUAAAAAUGAAUGCUAUCAAAUCGAAUUUUUAUAUAAUCAAACUCCUUAAAUCAAUUCCAAUAUUGAAAUCAUUGCAUUUAUAGCGAUACUAAUUGUGAUUGUCUUUCUUUUUCCCUAGCCUUACCUUCAUUUUCUCAUUUUUCUUUUCAUUCUGCGAUGCCUAGAAAUGAACUGCAGGAAGAAACUAAUGAGAAAGGAUCCUGUGUUCAGAAUUUCUCCAAGAAGCAACGCUGUUUUUCCAAACCCAGAAGAGCCUGAAGGAGAGGAGGAAGAUAUCCAGAUGGAAAGAAUGAGAACAGUGAAUGCUAUGGCUGUGCGAGACUUUGAUGAGACACCC
rnacentral:sRNA from 1 species